CAAAUUGUUGCGUAAUCGGUAACGUGUCUAUAUUGGGUGUAAAAGUAUGGGGGUUCAAGUCCCUCCAAUCUGA
rnacentral:tRNA from 2 species